rnacentral:rRNA from 1 species
AGGGAAUAUUGGACAAUGGGCGAAAGCCUGAUCCAGCAAUGCCGCGUGAGUGAUGAAGGCCUUAGGGUUGUAAAGCUCUUUUACCCGAGAUGAUAAUGACAGUAUCGGGAGAAUAAGCCCCGGCUAACUCCGUGCCAGCAGCCGCGGUAAUACGGAGGGGGCUAGCGUUGUUCGGAAUUACUGGGCGUAAAGCGCACGUAGGCGGUUAUUCAAGUCAGGGGUGAAAGCCCAGUGCUCAACACUGGAACUGCCCUUGAAACUAGAUAACUUGAAUCCAGGAGAGGUGAGUGGAAUUCCGAGUGUAGAGGUGAAAUUCGUAGAUAUUCGGAAGAACACCAGUGGCGAAGGCGGCUCACUGGACUGGUAUUGACGCUGAGGUGCGAAAGCGUGGGGAGCAAAC